rnacentral:rRNA from 1 species
UACAGAGGUCUCAAGCGUUGUUCGGAUUCAUUGGGCGUAAAGGGUGCGUAGGUGGCGCUGUAAGUCGGGUGUGAAAUUUCGGAGCUUAACUCCGAAACUGCAUUCGAUACUGGCGUGCUUGAGGGCUGGAGAGGAGACUGGAAUUCAUGGUGUAGCAGUGAAAUGCGUAGAGAUCAUGAGGAAGACCAGUGGCGAAGGCGGGUCUCUGGACAGUUCCUGACACUGAGACACGAAGGCCAGGGGAGCAAACGGG